rnacentral:rRNA from 1 species
AGGGUUUGAUUCUGGCUCAGGAUGAACGCUGGCGGCGUGCCUAACACAUGCAAGUCGAACGGAGUCGUUUUGGAAAUCUCUUCGGAGAUGGAAUUCUCGACUUAGUGGCGGACGGGUGAGUAACGCGUGAGCAAUCUGCCUUUAAGAGGGGGAUAACAGUCGGAAACGGCUGCUAAUACCGCAUAAAGCAUUAAAUUCGCAUGUUUUUGAUGCCAAAGGAGCAAUCCGCUUUUAGAUGAGCUCGCGUCUGAUUAGCUAGUUGGCGGGGUAACGGCCCACCAAGGCGACGAUCAGUAGCCGGACUGAGAGGUUGAACGGCCACAUUGGGACUGAGACACGGCCCAG